GAUAGCUGGUUCUCCUCGAAAUAGCUUUAGGGCUAGCCUCAUGGAUCAUUGGUGGGGGUAGAGCACUGAAUGUGCGCGGGGGCCACAAAGCCUACCAAACGCUAUCAAACUUCGAAUACCAUACAAUGCAGACCAUGGGAGUCAGUCCGCGAGAGAUAAGUUCCGCGGGCAAAAGGGGAACACCCCAGAUCAACCGCUAAGGUCCCCAAGUUCACGUUAAGUGGAGAAGGAUGUGGAAUUGCACAGACAACCAGGAUGUUGGCUCAGAAGCAGCCACACAUUUAAAGAGUGCGUAAUAGCUCACUGGUCGAGUGAUUGUGCGCCGAAGAUGUCCGGGGCUAAACGUGACACCGAAGCGAUGGGUGCGUCUGAAGAAGAUGCGCGGUAGAGGAGCAAUGUGCAGAGGCAGAAGCCGUAUCGAGAGGCACGGUGGACACUGCACAAGAGAGAAUGCCGGUAUGAGUAGCGAGAGGCAUGCGAGAAACAUGCCCGUCGAAAGCCCAAGGUUUCCUGGGGAAGGUUCAUCCGCCCAGGGUAAGUCGGGGCCUAAGCCGAGGACGGAAGUCGUAGGCGAUGGACAGCAGGUGUAGAUUCCUGCACUACCGAUGGAAUGAAGCAGUGACACAGAAGGAUAACUCGAGCAGGGUGAUGGUCAACCCUGUGCAAGCAUUGAGGUUGGGUUGUAGUGAAGUACGCAAUCCUAUAAGCUGAGGUGUGAUGCGGACCGAAAUUUCAGUAGGGAAGCGAGUGAGUUCACGCUGGCGAGAAAAGCUGCUAGUACAUCCAAAGGUACCCGUACCGGAAACCGACGCAGGUGGGCGAGGAGAGAAUCCUGAGACGGACGGGAGAACUCUUGUUAAGGAACUCGGCAAAAUGACCCCGUAACUUCGGGAUAAGGGGUGCCUGCGAGAGCAGGCCGCAGAGAAUAGUCACAAGCGACUGUUUAGCAAAAACACAGGUAUCUGCGAAAGCGAGAGCUGACGUAUAGGUGCUGACACCUGCCCGGUGCUGGAAGGUUAAGGGAACAUGUUAGAGCAAUCGAAGCAUCGAACCGAAGCCCCAGUAAACGGCGGCCGUAACUAUAACGGUCCUAAGGUAGCGAAAUUCCUUGUCGGGUAAGUUCCGACCCGCACGAAUGGCGUAACGACUUGUGAGCUGUCUCAACAGGAGGCCCGGUGAAAUUGAAGUAUGUGUGAAGAUGCACAUUACCCGCGACUGGACGGAAAGACCCCGUAGAGCUUUACUGCAGCCUGAUAUUGAGUUUCGGUAACUGAUGCACAGGAUAGGUGGGAGUCUGAGAGACACGGGUUUCGGCUCGUGUGGAGACGGUGUUGGGAUACCACUCUUCGGUUACUGAAAUUCUAACAUAGCUCUGUGAAACCAGAGGAUGGACAGUGUCAGGUGGACAGUUUGACUGGGGCGGUCGCCUCCGAAAGAGUAACGGAGGCGCCCAAAGGUACCCUCAGAAUGGAUGGAAACCAUUCGAAGAGCGCAAAGGCAGAAGGGUGCCUGACUGCGAGAUUGACAAAUCGAGCAGAGACGAAAGUCGGGCUUAGUGAUCCGGCGGUAUUGAGUGGAAAAGCCGUCGCUUAACGGAUAAAAGCUACCUCGGGGAUAACAGGCUGAUCUCCCCC
rnacentral:rRNA from 1 species